AAGGAAUAAGAGAACCAAGAAAAAGAGAGAAGUUGACAUGAAGAUGGCAACAUGUUGUGCUGGUAUGGGGUGUUUCAGCCACAGGCAUCUCUCUGAAGGCUCCAGGCUUAAACCUGCCGUCUUACCUUGAGAUGAGUUUUGAAACUUGUGGAGGUGAGAAUAUUGAAUUUUUAGAACAUUGUUCCCAUGAAGGAAUAUUGGAUGAAGCAUGUUUUCUCAUUCACGGAAGAAUAGUUCAAAGGGAAUGGACUUUAAAAAAAACAAAGAGUAAUCAUAUUAGAUGUUUCGAAGAGAUGACUGUGCCACAUCCAGGAAUAUCAGGGAGCCCUGUGCCCUGGAAAAUAUUUAGGAAAAGACACACAUGUACUCCUUGGAAAUGUUUGGGACUAAGUUUAAUAUCUGAACCAAAAUAAACACUGCACGGAA